rnacentral:lncRNA from 1 species
UUCAAACUGCCCUAUGGAGGAGCCCAAAGGGUGCAGACCUGAGACCUCUGACCAACAGUCAGCAGGGAACUGAGCCCUGCUGCCCACAGCCAUGUAAGCGAGCAUGGAAAUGGAUCCUGUAGCCCUGGUCAAGCCUUCAGACACCUGAAGGGAAUGAUCUCCUUUCCUACUUCUGAGCAUUGUUAGCUACAUGUGAAUCUUGGAACUGCUGCAGUCUUAAUGAUACCUAAGAUACCAGCCUUGAGUGUGUCUUCAUUGAUUCUCGCCACACUUUCUGGAAUAAGAAGAACACAUGUAAUAAUUGUUGAUGAGAACACUGAUGGAUAGAACAUUGUAUAUUUCUCUAGGUCCUAUAAUCUGAUCACAACUUAUUGAGACAUAACAAAGUCUCUUUUGGUCCUUGAGCAUUGUGUGAAGACGUUAUUUUUGAAACUGCUGCAGCCAUCACGUAACUAAGAGGGAGUGAGACUUCACGGGUGGAAAGAACCUGGAUCCUUGAUGACACAGUUGAUUCAUUGAAUCAACCACCCAUCAAAUGCCCAAUCCCUACACUUGAUGAGGAAGUUGAAAUCAAGACAAACAAGUGAUGUGGUCAAGGCUAAACAGUUGGUUAGUUGCUUUGAAGUCAAACCCAUGGCCCUAUUCCUAGUAAUGAACACUUACUACUAGGCUAAUAACUUUUGCUUAUCCUAGAUAAGUUUUCUGUCUUUGGUGCCUAGUCUAGAGAGAAGAACCGGCAGCACCUACUAGAAAGAGAUGAAUGUCAUGCUAAUUUUAUAUGUGACCACGGGUCAGUCACUUCCCCUCACCAGGAAAAGAUGUCUUUAUCUGUAAAAGAGAUGAUUGAAAUAAACUAUCUUGAAGGUCUCUUUUAGUUUUAAUAUUCAAUGAAUUUUGAUCCCUUUUAUUCCAUUUAUACCUAAGGAAAUAGCUAUGAGAGCUAGAAGGGACCUUAAAGGUAAUCUUGUCUAACACUGCAAUAAUCCUUGUCUAACACUACAACCAUCCUCGUCUAACACUAGGAGAGAAAAUGACUUCCCUCAGGGUCACAUGGUCAGUGGAAGGACUCUGGCAUAAACCCCAUUCUUUCACCUAGCAGUCCAAGAUAUCUUCCCUCAUACCUACAGCAACAACUCAGCAAUCGCCUUGGUCUGCCAUUCUUCACCAAUGCACUUUGCAAAUGAAGUUAUUAGUCAAGUUUGAUUAGCUUCAUUUGAUGGAUAAGGAGCCCCACAAAGGAGAAGUAAUGUAUUUGAUUCUUCCAUGAUGAAUUUGCCUGACUCAGAACCCGAGAGCCAGACUCUGUUAUUCUUAUCAUCUCUCUCCUUCCCCCGCCCCUGCAACUGACGUUAUUUGGAAAUAAUAAAAUUAUUUCAAAACACCUUAAUGAGAUUUUAAAUGAGUGUGUAAUUUAUUAUCUAAUUAUGUUUCUAUUCUCUAGAGAAGGGACUGUAUAUUUCAGGCUGCCAACUUUUCUGUAAUCCCUGCCAGUUUGUGGGGGUAGAUAGGCUCUGCAUCAGGUCGGUGGUAGCAGGUCAUCCAUCUUGGCGUCCCUGCGGCAGGCUGGGGUGUUGGAAAACUGUAGAAUUAGAGGCAGGAAACUUAGUUUCUCUGCAACGUGGGGAAAAUCAUUUAACCUUAGUGAAACUGGAGUGAUAACAUCUUCCUUUCCUUCCCCACAGUGCAAUGGUGAGGGGCAUUUGAUAUAAGAAGGAUAAAAGUGAUUUAUGAACUUAAAACUCUUUCUAAAUGAACUUUAGGCAGUAUUAUUUUCAAGGAGAAGCCAAGGGUGGUAUUUAAGCAGCGGGCCCAGUGCUGUCAAUAACUGAGGACAAACACCUGCCGAGAUGCUACAGAUCGAAGACCCCAUCUUAACUGAUUGAAUUAAAGACCAAUUUUAAAUUUUAAAGCUUAAUUCAGAAGUGGGAGUUCUAGGUUUGAAUCCCUAAUCUCUGAUAUCAGCUAUGUGACCUGGAGCAAGUUAGCAACUCUCAUUAAUCCUCUCAAAAAGACAGAGAGAGAGUGGGCAAAAUAAUUUCUAAUCAACAUCUUUUCAUUAAUCCUCUCAAAAAGACAAAGAGAGUGGGCAAAAUAAUUUCUAA